rnacentral:rRNA from 1 species
UACCAGCACCCCGAGUGGUCGGGACGAUUAUUGGGCCUAAAGCAUCCGUAGCCGGCCUUACAAGUCCUCCGUUAAAUCCAGCUGCUUAACAGAUGGGCUGCGGAGGAUACUAUAAGACUAGGAGGCAGGAGAGGCAAGCGGUACUCAGUGGGUAGGGGUAAAAUCCGUUGAUCCAUUGAAGACCACCAGUGGCGAAGGCGGCUUGCCAGAAUGCGCUCGACGGUGAGGGAUGAAAGCUGGGGGGAGCAAACAGG